rnacentral:rRNA from 1 species
GAUGAACGCUGGCGGCGUGCCUAAUACAUGCAAGUCGAGCGAACAGAUGAGGAGCUUGCUCCUCUGACGUUAGCGGCGGACGGGUGAGUAACACGUGGAUAACCUACCUAUAAGACUGGGAUAACUUCGGGAAACCGGAGCUAAUACCGGAUAAUAUAUUGAACCGCAUGGUUCAAUAGUGAAAGACGGUUUUGCUGUCACUUAUAGAUGGAUCCGCGCCGCAUUAGCUAGUUGGUAAGGUAACGGCUUACCAAGGCAACGAUGCGUAGCCGACCUGAGAGGGUGAUCGGCCACACUGGAACUGAGACACGGUCCAGACUCCUACGGGAGGCAGCAGUAGGGAAUCUUCCGCAAUGGGCGAAAGCCUGACGGAGCAACGCCGCGUGAGUGAUGAAGGUCUUCGGAUCGUAAAGCUCUGUUAUUAGGGAAGAACAAAUGUAUAAGUAACUAUGCACGUCUUGACGGUACCUAAUCAGAAAGCCACGGCUAACUACGUG